ACCUCGAGCCGGCGAAGCAUAUAUUAUAACAAUUGGAAAGCUGCAAAAACACCCAUUAUUAACAACCUUUUUUUAACUUUAAUAUUUUUAUCUUUUUACUAAUCCAAAAUAAUGUUCAUUCAAAAAACGAAACAAAAAUAUUCUUGCAGUCGACUAUCAGUAGAGUAUAGAUCUACAGACUAGGCCAAAAUCAUUGGGCUUUAAGGAUUAAUCUUUCCGCUUUCUUUCAAACUCGAGGCCAUUUUCGGAAAGCAAAAAAAAAAUGAGAAGAUUGUUUUUAUAGCAUUAUUUUAAGCAAUACAAAGUUCUCAGCAAUCUUUUCUACACUCUGGAAUUA